rnacentral:rRNA from 1 species
GACGAACGCUGGCGGCGUGCUUAACACAUGCAAGUCGAACGAAGUGGCGCACGGGUGAGUAACGCGUAAUCAACCUGCCCUUCAGAGGGGGACAACAGUUGGAAACGACUGCUAAUACCGCAUACUGUAGGAGGGGAUUGCGUCUGAUUAGCUAGUUGGAGGGGUACCGGCCCACCAAGGCGAUGAUCAGUAGCCGGCCUGAGAGGGCGACCGGCCACACUGGGACUGAGACACGGCCCAGACUCCUACGGGAGGCAGCAGUGGGGAAUUUUGGGCAAUGGGGGAAACCCUGAUCCAGCCACGCCGCGUGUGCGAAGAAGGUCUUCGGGUUGUAAAGCACUUUUGGCAGGGAAGCGGUACCUACAGAAUAAGCACCGGCUAACUACGUGCCAGCAGCCGCGGUAAUAC